UACGAAGGGGGCUAGCGUUGCUCGGAAUGACUGGGCGUAAAGGGCGCGUAGGCGGAUGGCACAGUCAGAUGUGAAAUUCCCGGGCUUAACCUGGGGGCUGCAUUUGAUACGUGUGAUCUAGAGUGAGGAAGAGGGUCGUGGAAUUCCCAGUGUAGAGGUGAAAUUCGUAGAUAUUGGGAAGAACACCGGUGGCGAAGGCGGCGACCUGGUCCUUGACUGACGCUGGAGGCGCGAAAGCGUGGGGAGCAAACAGG
rnacentral:rRNA from 1 species